rnacentral:lncRNA from 10 species
AUAUUACUACUUUAGCACUGAUUGGGUCUCAGUUAUUUGUGUGUUAUCAUGCAUGUAUUUAAUUGAGCAGCUACUACAUGCAAGGAGCUGUGAGAAAUGAACAUGAGGCCAAGAUAUUGACCUUGCCCUCAAGGAAUUUACAGUCUUGUCAGAGAGAUAAUCCAUACCCACAAACACCGUAAAAAGUAGACAGAAUUAAGAAGUAUGAGAGCUACACAGAGAACAUGACGGGAAUUCAAAGAAAGUACUACUCCUUUCUUUCAGUGAAGGGUCCAGAGUGGCUCUGAGGUUCAUUUUGAACAUGACGGGAAUUCAAAGAAAGUACUACACCUUUCUUGCAGUGAAGGGUCCAGAGUGGCUCUGAGGUUCAUUUUGUACAUGAAGAGAUGAGAAAGGACAAUCUAAGUGGAAGAUACAGGAGAAACACGGAAACAAACAAAAGA